UGAAUUUUAAAUUUAUUCAAAAAAGCCUUCUUACAACUUGUGUGGACCUAGAAUUAUACUUAGCCCUCAAACUUCAAACCUCAAAAUUCAAAAAACAAGCAAAUUUGCAUUAACUACACUCCUCUUGUUUGGAACCAAUAUUGGAGAGCAUUCUCCAUGCCUCUCCCGCCCUUCAUUCUAAUCAAACUAAGCUUGUUUCUGGUCCCUUUUUCAGU
rnacentral:lncRNA from 1 species